CACGUAGGGGGCAAGCGUUGUCCGGAAUUACUAGGCGUAAAGGGCAGGCAGGCGGAUCCAUAAGUUUAUCGUUUAAGGCGUCGGCUUAACCGGCGUAGGGCGGUAGAUACUGUGGAUCUGGAAUGCGGUUGGGGAAGACAGAAUUCCUGGUGUAGCGGUGGAAUGCGCAGAGAUCAGGAGGAAUACCGAAGGCGAAGGCAGUCUUCCAAGCCGUUAUUGACGCUCAACUGCGAAGGUGUGGGUAUCAAACAGGAUUAGAUACCCUGGUAGUCCCUGA
rnacentral:rRNA from 1 species